AGGUGGUGGAGAUUGCCCCUGCGGCCGACCUGGACCCUCAUCUAAGAGAACGACUGACUUCUGACUCUGUCAAACUGGCCAAACAGGUCGGCUAUGAGAAUGCGGGCACUGUGGAGUUCCUUGUGGAUAAACACGGGAAACAUUACUUCAUAGAAGUCAACUCCAGACUACAGGUGGAACACACUGUCACUGAGGAGGUUACAGAUGUGGACCUGGUCCAUGCCCAGCUGCGUGUGUGUGAGGGACGCAGUCUGCCUGAGCUGGGGUUAACACAGGAGACCAUCAGGGUGAACGGUUGUGCCAUACAGUGUAGAGUCACGACUGAAGACCCGGCCAGAGGCUUCCAACCAGACACAGGACGACUGGAGGUAGGGU